rnacentral:lncRNA from 1 species
CAGUAUGGGCAUGUUCAAUGCUCUUCUCUGCAGAAGCAUUUAAAUAGAUAUAAUAUUGUUUGCAGAAUUUCAUAGCACUUAUGAACGCAUAAAUAUUUUUACAAAAGGUAGAGACAAAAACCUUAUGCAUGUUAUGUUAAUUUGCAUGAAUCCAGUGUAAUAUCUCCAAUAUCAUUUUUCUUCAAGCAUUUUAUGUUUAUAUUAAUGUGAUUUUAGUUUAGUGAUAAAGUUUUCAUGCCAGGCUUAAUUUCAGACAGUUUUGUGAUGAAGACCUCAUUGUGUAUGAAUUAAGGAUGUAUGACAAUAACUGCUCUGGUUAAGCAAUACAAAGUGGAAUUGAACUAUAUUUAUUUUUUAUUGAAAGGAGGAAAUGUUGUGGGUAUUGAGAGGCAAGCUUGAUAAGAUCUGCAGUUGUAGUGUUGAAAAUUAGAUGGUUAUUAAGAAAAUAUUUAGAAUAAAUGCCAUUGUUUCGUUUGUUUCUUAGUGAUCUUCUUUUCUCCUGGCAUUUGUUUUAUGUGUUUUUUUUUGUUUUGAUAUAUUUUUUCCAAUUGGUAUUAUUUUAUUUUGUGCCCUUUGAGUUGUUCAUUGGUUAAAAAAAACCCUCAUUAUUAUUGUUUUAUUGUCAAGUUAAUUAAAUAAAUUAUUAGAAUUCCAGAUAUACUUGGCCAGUCUGGUGGGUUGUUAUUUUAGUAAGCUUCUGUUUGUUUAUUUCAAUUAACCUGUGAUUUUACCAUUGAGUGAAUAUGGCUCUUUGUCCAGCAUAGGGGGCUGUAUCAGGUGCUUGUGCUCUACUGGCAUAACUCUGAGGGUCAGUCAUUAAGUCAUACAAGUCACCCCACUACAAGGACUGCACUUUGUAGUGGCCAUGGUUAUGUUAUAAAUCAUAAUUUCCUUAUGAUACAGCUGUUUUAUUUGUUAUUGUUCUUUUUAAUCCCAAUAGAUUACUGCUAUUCUGAUACCCGUUUUCCAGCCAUGUCUAUUGUUCCUUUCCUUUGAGGUUUCUUGAUUACUAUAAUUACUUUACAUAUUCCUGUUUUAUUCCAAAAUCUUAAUUGUACUAACCACAACUCCUUCUUUCCUUCUUUAACUACGACUAUAUUGUUACUACCAUAUCUUAUUCUAUCAUCAGUAUUUCUGUUACUAUUCUUGCUACUCCUGAUUCUACUCUCUUAAUUAUAGUAUUACUGCUAUUUCAUACUUCUACUGUAUUCUCUCUUCUGUUUUCUUUAUCUAUGUAACAGCUACUCCUCAAUAAUCCACUUUUUUUAGCCCUUUCUUAGCUGGUGCUUGUUACUCCCUGAAUAUUUGCAAUAAUUCUGCUUUCUCUUGCUUUUGCUCUUCAGAAACUAUAGUGCUAUUCCUUGGUAACUCUUCUAUUGCUACUUCAUAAGGGUGUCUUCUUUUAGCCUUCCAGCUGUUAAGCUUAUGCUACAUCUCUGCAUUUAUGUGGCUUCCGUUCUCAGUACUUCUCUUUGUUACUCCUUUCUCAUUUUGCUACUAUUUUUCUUCAUUUAUCUACUCCCACUUCCUUCAAGCUACCUUCUUUUGUCUUUUAAGCACUCCAUCUCACUUUCAGUUACCUUUUCCUUUUAGCUACACUUUUCUCCUUUCUUCUCUCAAUAUAUAUUCAUUUUGUUUUUUGCUAGUCAUCAUUCCAUAUAUCUUAUGUUUGCUUUUGCUUCUCCUAUUCAUCUUCAUUUAGUUUUGCUGUACCUUAUUAUUUCUACUUCUAUUUCUCAUGAUACUUAAUCAUUUAGGUUUACAGAUUCUUUCCGUCUUUUUCUUAUACAUCACUUACACUACUACUCCUUCCACAAUUGUUUUAACCUUCUUUACUAUUUAACCCUUUAACAUUUAAACCGGUCAUAUCCGGCCAAAAUAUUCUACCUGUUUUAUGGUCAAACUGGCCACAUCUGGCAUCUCAUACCAACUUUAUAAUAUCAUUCUAAAAUUAACAGUAACCCCUUCAAAAUCUCAAAGCUACAAGAUAAUCCAUGAUUAAUACAAAACAAAGAGAAUAAAUAAGUAUUGCAUUUAACAGAAUAAUGUGAAAGCUAAAGGAUUAAACUUGACCCUUUAGUAUGUAAACUGGUCAUACCUGGUCCAAAUAUUCUACUUGUUUUUACGUCCUAACUUGCCAGAUCUGGGCUCUCAUAUCUUUCCAAGAAUUAACAAUCACACCAACAAAAUCUCAAAACUAUGAGAUAAUGCAAGAUUAAUUUAAAACAAUGUGAGUUAAUAAGUAUUACCUUUGACAAUAAUCUGAAUGCUAAAGGGUUAUACAUCUGCUGCUCUUACUACUCAUUGCCAUCUGCACCAAGUGAUUGUUGUUGUUGUUGUGGCUAUCCCUGUAUGAAGUCCAGCAUUGCAAUUCAAACUAAAGUUGUUGAAUUACUUCUGCUUCAGAGAGAUUCAAGAUUUGAAAUUUCUAGACAGAACUUGGCCUUGGGCAAGUUUUGGUAGAGCAAUUUGCUUUCUGUUUAGAAUAUGGUUCCCUGUGAAAAACACUCUGCUAUGCUUUUCUCUUUAAUCUUUUGGCUAUCCGAAGCAUUUUCAUAAGUUUGUCCUAAAUGUCCAUGUUUGUUUCCAGACUUAUCAUUUGGUCCUUGUUUCAUGCUUUAUGAGUAAUAUAAAGCUUUACGUUUAUAGGUGCCAAGUAACAUUGGUAGCUGAGAAAAAAUUCUAUAUUUAUUGUAUAUGAUGUAUGGACACCAGGGAAAUAUGUCCUGUCUGUCACAUUUGAUAUACAGGAGAGGCAAAGGGUUAAACCUAUAAUUCUUUUUAAUCCUUUUUACCCUUUUUGAUCCUCUUUGUUACUUUGUCAAACUUCUAAGUCAAUUGCUUCUUUUACUUCACCUGUUAACCAGUAAUUACUGUUACAGGUAGUUAGUCUUCAUAAUGAUCCCUGCUUCCUUUAUUGAUUAGUUUCUUUUGGAGUUCUUACUACUGCUCACUAACUAAAGUUUCUUUUUUCCUCAAUGCUUUUCCUUACUAAGAUAUUCCCUACAUUAUUGUACAGUACCCUAAUGUAUUUUGUUCUUCCUGUCCCCUGUCAAGAGUUCCUCUAUUUCUUUCUUCUUCUGCUACGAGAUUUUGUUAUCAUUGUCAUGACUGUUAUAUUUCAUUGUUGUUGUUGCUGUUGUUUGUUAUAGUUGUUAUCCUUCAUUGUAGUUGUCGCUAUUUUUAUCGUCGUGAUUUUUGUUACCAUCACCAUUUUGCUGUUUCUUCACCCUUGCCAUCUCAUUUGCUAAUGUCCUCCUCUCUCUCUCUUCACCUUCCUGAUCACAUUGUUAUUGCCAUCUUUUGUCUUCAGUGCUGGUGUCAUCUCUUGUCGCUGUCCUCUAUCCUCUGCUGCUGUCUCUUACCUGUGUCAUUUUCUACCAUUUUCUUUACCAAUACUGCUCUUUUAUCUUAGAGUCAUCAUCUCCCCUUGUUUGGUGUCAUUAUUUAUCCUCAUCAAGUAUCACCAUCUUUCUUCUUCCAUUGUCCCCAUCUUUUCAUGUCCAGUUUCUCAAUCAUUCUUCAUCUGGUAUCUUCGUCUUCCUUAACCCUUUAGCAUUUAAACCGGACAUAUCUGGCCAAAAGUUUUCUGCCUGUUUUAUGUUCAAACUGGCCAGAUCUGGUCUCUCACACCAACCCUACAAUAUCAUUUUAAAAAUUAACAGCUACCUCAUCAAAAUCUCAUAGCUACAAGAUAAUGCAUGAUUAGCUCAAAACAAUGUAGAUAAAAAAGGAUUAAUUCUGGCAGAAUAAUGCAAACACGAAAGGGUUAAUCUGAUUUUACCAUUUCCCUUCAAUUGGUUCUUGUCUUUUGCCUAUGUUAUCACAUUUCACCCUACAUUAAAAUAUUGCAUUCACACACAUGAACCCAAGCACCCACACACAUUGCUAAUUACUCUGAAUAAAUGACCGAAGCAGUACCUGAUUUGAUGCCAUUUAACUAGAAUUCUACCGGCUGCUUUCCUUUAUAUUAUCCCCAACAUAACCUGAGCCUGUAAUUCAGUGUCUGCCUUAUGUCAUAUGAGAAAAUUCUUGGAUGGUUGUUAAGCUUUAAUCCUUUAUCAUUUAAACCGGCCAUAUUCGGUCGAAAUAUUCUACCUGUUUUAUCUUCUGAUUGGUCAUAUCUGGCUUUUCACACCUACUCCUAUAGUGUCUCUUUAAAAUUAAACAAUUGCAUACUCUUUUACUCUUUUCAGUCAUUUGACUGUGGCCAUGCUGGAGCACUGCCUUCAACCCCAAGCAAAUCAACCCCAGGGCUAAUUCUUUGGAAGCAUAGUACUUAUUCUAUCAGUCCCUUUUGCCAAACGGCUAAGUUACGGGGACGUAAACACACCAGCAUCGGUUGUCAAGCGAUGUUGGGGGGGACAAACACAGACACAUAAACAUAUACACACAUAUACAUAUAUACGAUAGGCUUCUUUCAGUUUCCAUCUACCAAAUCCACUCACAAGGCUUUGGUUGACCCAAGGCUAUAGUAGAAGACACUUGCCCAAGGUGCCAUGCAGUGGGAAUGAACCCGGAACCAUGUGGUUGGUAAGCAAGCUACUUACUACGCAGCCACUAUGAAAUAACAAAUGAUUAAUUUAAAACCAUGUGAAUGCAUAAGCAUUACAUUUGACAGAGUAAUCUGAAUGCUUAAGGGUUAUUAAGGGUUAUUACAUUAUUAAGGGUUAUUACAUUAUUGGGUUGUGUUUAUCUUUCAUCAUUGCUGUCCUCUUCAGUCUCAUUGCUGCCAUGUUUUAUUCCUCUCUUCGCCAUUGGUUUCAUCUUUCAUUAUCAGCCUUGCUAUCUUUUAAGAUUAUUAUACUACUUUAUUUUGUUUUUGUUGCUAUCAUUCACAUCCUCUUUGGGCAUCCAUAUCUUUACAUAUUUUGGUGUUGGCAUUGCCCAUAUGAUUUUGGCUUGCCUAUAUGUUUUGGUGUUGGUACUUCAUACAUCUCUUGGAAUCAUUGUCAGUGUCUUUUGUCCUUGUCAUCGAGAGCUUUCAAUAUUUUCAUUUGCUAUCUCUUUUGUUGUUGUCAUUCUUGUUACUUCAUUAGUUCUUCAGUUUCUUUUCCGUAAAUGUACUGAAACAAAUCUUACGUUGUUAGCAAUUGGUUUCUGAUCAAUAAUUUCUGUUGAUAAUUGUUUUUCUUUUGCUUUUUUUUUUCUUUCUUUUAUCCCUUUCCUUUCUCCCUCAAAUUAUCUGCUGCUGAAGGGUAAGGGAACCCACAUGUCUUACCAGGCUGAGAUGCAGAAACAGCUGAAGGAGGAGUUGAAAGAGCUGCACAGAGAGAAAAGCAUGGUUCGAGAAAACUUGAGUAGGACAACGGAGGAAUUGCUUCGCUAUUGCAGGGAGAAUGAAAACUCGGAUCACAUGCUCUUCCCUCAAAAAGAUAACCCUUUUGUUAAGACGGAUAGCAGCAUAUGUAUUCUGUGCCUCAAAUAAAAUGAAGUUUAAAUGAAGUUAAAUAAGAUAAAAGAAAAAUAAAUGCAGAAAUAAAGAAUAACAAAAAGAACAAGUUAUAAUAAAGAGAGUAAACAAAAUGAGUAGAUAAAAAAGUACAUAUAUAUAUAUAUAUAUAUGUAUGUAUAUAAGUAAUAAAUAAUGCAUAACACAAAGAAAACAAGAAUUUUUUUUUUAUUGACUUACAUCAUAAUCAUCACCAUAAUCAUCUUUAUUUUGUUGUCUACUUUUCAAAUGUUGGAAUUGGUUGGACACAGUUUCUUAGACUCUAAUCUAUGGCAAGGUAUCUGACAUGAUGUCAACUCUUGUUUUCAAGUGUCUAAGAAAUUUGAACGGCUGAGCCGCAAAACAUGCUGUGUGUGUGUAUAUAUAUAUUUAUAUAUAUAUAUAGGCACAGGAGUGGCUGUGUGGUAAGUAGCUUGCUAACCAACCACAUGGUUCCGGGUUCAGUCCCACUGCGUGGCAUCUUGGGCAAGUGUCUUCUGCUAUAGCCCCGGACCGACCUAUGCCUUGUGAGUGGAUUUGGUAGACGGAAACUGAAAGAAGCCUGUCGUAUAUAUGUAUAUAUAUAUAUAUAUGUGUGUGUUUGUGUGUGUGAUUGUGUGUCUGUGUUUGUCCCCUAGCAUUGCUUGACAACCGAUGCUGGUGUGUUUACGUCCCCGUCACUUAGCGGUUCGGCAAAAGAGACCGAUAGAAUAAGUACUGGGCCUACAAAGAAUAAGUCCUGGGGUCGAUUUGCUCGACUAAAGGCGGUGCUCCAGCAUGGCCGCAGUCAAAUGACUGAAACAAGUAAAAGAGUAAAAGAGUAAUAUGACGUAAAUAAACACCACUGUUGCUCAAAUGGCAUCUAAGCAAAGAUAUGCAAAGUGAUGCAUAGAUGCAUAUCUGUAUGUAAGCAUAUCUACAUGUAUGAGUGAAUGUUUGUACAUAUAAUGUACAUGUGUUUAGAUGUUGGUACAUCAGUAUGGCUCACAACACCUUUGAGCAAACCGCUUUGGAGCGAACAAAAUUGAGAUCAUCAUAUCAAAGUGUUUGCAACAGCAUUAACAGGCCCGGGGGUGCAAAACAAAGAAAAUCGACUGCAAAUAUGCUGCCUGCACUGACCUGUAAUCCUCGGUCUUGCAAACAACAUGUAUGGGCCUCUUUGCAAAUUGUUGGAAGGACUCAAAUGUCUCAUCCGACAUAAGCAUAAAUGACUGACAAAGAAAGAAUAGGUUGUUGGAUCCUUGUAUAUCAAAACCGAUUGGAGAGUCCAUCAGAUAUGUGUGUGUGUGUGUGUGUGUUUGGUGUAUCCGUGUGUUUGUGUGUGUGUGUGUGUGGUGUAUGUGUGUUUGUGGUGUGUGUGUGUGGUGUAUCUGUGUGUUUGUGGUGUGUGUGUGUGUAUUUGUGUGUUUGUGGUGUGUGUGUGGUGUAUCUGUGUUUGUGGUGUGUGUGUGUGUGUGUGUGUGUGUGGUGUAUCUAUCUGUGUGUGUGUGGUGUAUCUGUGUGUUUGUGGUGUGUGUGUGUGGUGUAUCUGUGUGUUUGUGGUGUGUGUGUGUGGUGUAUCUGUGUUUGUGGUGUGUGUGUGGUGUAUCUGUGUGUUUGUGGUGUGUGUGUGUGUGGUGUAUCUGUGUAUUUGUGUGUGGUGUAUCUGUGUGUUUGUGGUGUGUGUGUGGUGUAUCUGUGUGUUUGUUGUGUGUGUAUUUAGUGAGCAGAAACCUGUUCACAGCUGUCUUGUUUCUUGAGAUAUAAAAAAAAAAAAAGAGCAAACCCAGAUAGUCUUUUUCUUAAUGGCAUCUUAAUUUCAUAGAAUUGUUGAUUCUUGAGAUUAUCUUCCCUUCUCAUUCAGAUUCUGUUGUAAUUGUCUCUAUGGUUACCUCCUUUUGAAGCAAAGAUACUUUCAAUAAAUCAACAAUUUAUCUUGUCCGGUAUUUAGGAUAUCUUACGUCAUAUUUGUUGUGCAAAAUCCACGGCACUUAUGGUCACUCAGUUAUUUCACUUAGCUUAUAUUUGUCACACAUACUAGAGGUGUCUGUAUAAGUGAUCCUUAUGUAUCUGUAUAGCUAUUUUUAUUUUCGCAAAUUCAAGUAAUUUCAAAUUCCUCUGGUACCCAGAUUGGUGGUAAAAUUAACCCAUUAGUUUAAAAAUCACCACUUGGAAUGCUGGCUGCCUUUAGUAUCGCAAGUAGAUGGCUUCCUGAGGAGAAGAGUAGAAAUUGCCUCGUUUUCAGCUCUACAACAAUGUCCAGCAAACUGGACAUUGUUUGCUACUCCUGCUACUAAUUAGGACCCCUAAGUAUCAGAAAAUAUCAAGCACUUCUGGGUGUUGGAGACAGAUUUUUCACAUGUGCUCUUAGUACUUAUUACCCUUGUGCACUUGCCAUAGGCACAAAGGGAGCAAGUGCUAAGUGCUAAGACUUCUCUGUGAGCUUACACCUUUUGUACUUCUAUUAAUAUUUACAUUGGGUGCACCAUAUGGUAUACCUACCUCCUCCUUUUCAUCACAGAUAUUUCUCUUAUGGUUUCUGUGCCUUAUUUUAUGUUAGCAUAGAGGCUCCUGAUUCUAGGUUUUAUUUCUAUGCCUGGAAUUUUUCUACAAUUCUAUCACUGAUUUGACUAUAAAAGCUAGGUCAUCUGCAUAGAGGAGUUCCCAUAGGCAACCAUUCCUUGGUAAGGACUUGGAGGAUUAAUAAACAGAUGAUUGAGGACUGACCUCUGACAUACUCCUAUUGUCACGUAGAAUUCAUCUCUAUGCUUUUAAUGUUGACCUUCCUGCCUGCACUUGCACAGCUCAACAAUUCCCAGAUCACACACACAGCACCCCCCCCCCACAAUGUCAAAGAAUGCCCAGCUGUAGGCCUUUAAGAAGUACUGUAAUAAAUUUGUUAUAUUUUGGGAUACUCUUUACUCUCUUUUACUUGUUUCAGUCAUUUGACUGUGGCCAUGCUGGAGCACUGCCUUUUAGUCGAGCAAAUCGACCCCAGGACUUAUUCUUUGGAAGCCUAGUACUUAUUCUAUCGGUCUCUUUCGCCGAACCGCUAAGUUACGGGGACGUAAACACACCAGCAUCGGUUGUCAAGCAAUGUUGGGGGGACAAACACAGACACACAAACACACACACAUAUAUACAUAUAUACGACGAGCUUCUUUCAGUCUCCGUCUACCAAAUCCACUCACAAGGCUUUGGUCAGCCCGAAGCUAUAGUGGAAGACACUUGCCCAAGGUGCCACGUAGUGGGACUGAACCUGGAACCAUAUGGUUGGUAAGCAAGCUACUUACCACACAGCCACUCCUAUGCCUAUGGUCAUUUUUUAUUUAUUUAUUUUUGUCAAAUAACCACAUACACUAUAUAUUCCUUCUUCACUCGUUUAUAAUUGUUCUUAUUUUAUCUUAUGUCCAUUAUCUGGAAAUCUUUUGUCACACACUUGUGACCUCAUCAGCAACUCUUCCAUCCUAUGUGUCUCCUCCUGUUCUGAUUAGUCCAUUCUGUCUUUCUAAAUAUAACUAUAUCUAUUUCAACACAUGAUUUUGCAUCAGGAAUCUUGCAAAACAAAUCCAUAAAUUAAAUAAAUUUACUUUUGAUUAAUAUGAACUGGGGGAAGGAAACUGGGUUACCUUUUGAGGAAUGGUUAAACAGACCAUGAAAUGUUUUGUCAGGAGACUCCCUAUUCUUUUUCUCAUUCAUUAAAAGCAUAAAAAAAAUCUGCUUAUUUCCCAUUUCUCUCAUAGCUUUGCUUCCUACCCACUGCCUGUUUCUUUGGGCAAGUGUCUUCUAUUAUAGCCCUAGGCCAACGAAAGCCAGGUGAGUGGAUUUGGUAGACAGAAACUGAAGAAAGCCCGUCGUGUGUGUGUGUGUGUAUUUGUAUGUAUGUAUGUGUCUGUUUGUCUCCCUUCCCCACCAUAGCUUGACAACUGAUGUUAGUGUAUUUCUGCCUCUGUAACUUAGCGGUUCGGCAAAAACAAAAAAAGAUAAAAUAAGUGUUAGGCUUACAAAGAAUAAGUUCUGGGGUUGAAUUGUUCAACUAAAGGUGAUGCUGCAGCAUGGCCACAGUCAAAUGACUGAAGAAAGUGAAGGAAUAAAAGAAUAUAUAUAUACAUAUGUGUGUGUGUGUGUGUAUAUAUAUAUGUAUAUAGAUAUAUAUGAUGGACUCUCGCAUCAUUAGAUGACGUAUGAGGGUUUGACAGUUUUUUCACCAAACAACCACACAAAAUGAUUUGUUUAUAAGUUCACUCGCUCCAUCAAAUCGACAUUACCUGUACAGGUGCAACGAGUGUCACAUGUCAGAUGAUGAUCACAAAGCAAUGUGAAACGAAGUGCUUUGCUCAAGAACACAACGAAACGCCCGGUCUGAGAAUCGAACCCAUUUUCUCACAAUCAUGAGUGCAACACCCUAACCACCAAGUAAUUAUCUGGACUUUGGGUAUAUAUCUAUUAGUGUGCCAAUUAACCCUUUCGUUACUGUGUUUCUUUCAAUUAAUUUUAAAUAUAACAAAGAAUUGCGUAAAAUAAUUUGGUUAUCAUUCAGCUAGUGUUAGGAAUAUAAAUUGUGACUAAGGUUUGGUGGAAGAUUUUAAUUCAAAACUUGACAUUUGUACUACAGAGCCAGAGGCUUCUUCUUCUUCUUCUUACAGCAUUGACCCGGGGUGGGUUGAGCUGGCUUCAUUCAACCUCAAUGCUGCAUCUCUCACAAACGCCGACCAGGCCUGGCAAUUUGAGGUUAACGACCGCAUGAUCUCCAACCACUCCUUAUUCCAGCAGCGAACGCCGUAGAUAUGGGGGCCUAGGUUGGGUUCCAGAUCAGCCUUGACUUUCGUCAGCCAGGUUUUUUGUUGUACACCACAUCGCUUUCGCCAACCUUGAAGGGGAGCCGGGGCAAUUGCUUCGUAGAUGAAUUCUCCUGGUUGACGACGGAGCGCAUGACCCAGCCAACGCAGACGUCUCGUUAGGAUGACUUGUCGGAGGGAGGUGAUUCUGCACUGGUGUUGCACUGAAUUGUUGGAGACAAAGUGAUGCCAUCGGACACGAGGGAUGUGGCGUAGACAGAGGUGAUCGACGGAUUCUAGUCAUGUAUAUCGCAUAGAGCCAGAGGCGUUUUCAGUCUGGUUAGUAAUGAGAGGGUUCAAGCACAUUCACCAUUUGGGCUACCUAAUGUCAUCCACAGUUACAGUAUAAUUUUCAUUGGAUCUAUAUUAGGAAAUCUGUGUGUGUGUGUGUGUGUGUAUUGAGAGAGAGUGGGAGAAAGAUGUGUAUAUAUACACACACAUACAUAUAUACAGAGAAAAAGAGAGAAAAACGUUUAGCUUCUUUUAAAAUUUUUCUAUGAGAAACAUUUCAAAAAUUUUUACCUUAUUACCUUUCUGGAAAUCAUUGCUUUCACUUCUGUUGUUCAAUUUAUUUAUUUUUUUUAUUUUUUAACUAAUUCAGAAACUGAAACCUCUUGUUCAAAGUUCUUGUGUUAUACUUGAAACCUUUUUUUUUAAAUAUAUUUUCUUCAUUUGAAAAUUAUUCAAAACUAGAGUUGCUAUUGUUAAAUCCGAAGUGCAUCAUUUUAAAGAAUUAAAUGAGCAGAACAACAUUGUAGAAAUACGGAACAAGAAAAUAAAAUAAAAUGAAAUUAGGAGAAAAUAUUCCAAGCAUUUGAAGAACACAAAAAGUCAUGUCAUAAAAGUAUCAUAAAAGUGUCAUAUAAUGAUCAAUGUCACUUGUUUUAUGAGCAAUUCUGCAUUUUAUUUUUAGUACAAUUCAAAACAUGAAGAAAAAGGAAUUUUAUAUUUUUUUGUUAUAAAAUUGAUAGAAAUUAAAGCAUUUUCCCUCAUUUUGAAAAGUUACAAAAUUGUAAUGCUGAUGAUAUUCAUGUUGUUGUCAUCCAAGCAUUCCUCAGAGUUUUUUCAGUGCUCCCAGAAUCAAAAGAGUAAUUAAUUUUCUUUGUGUAAAAAAGGUCAUUCAAGGUUGUUUAAUACCAAUUUUUUUUUUUAUGACUAUGAUACUGUCCUUGCUUUCAUUUCCAUGUAUUUGACCCGUUGGCAAACUCAAGCUGUUAUUCACUUCUUGAUAUGAUCUGAUAGUGUUACCUCAUGAUGUGAGAGUUCCGUCUAUUUAGUCAAUAGCCCGUGAAAAGCUUGUUUGUGAAUUCAACAAGGGAUUAUAAUAUGUUACCAUAUUUUCCUGCACACAAGUUAAUACAGUUUAUAGUGUAAGCAUGCAGUUGCUGAGACCCCCUUCGGUCAUGACUGACCGUGGGAUUGCACCUAGAAAGUUACCCUCCCAGGCACAAGUCCGGGCGAGGUUGUUUAUUGAAGACCAGCAGUUGCCCAUUCAUACCGGCCUCCCCUCUCCACGCCACCAGUGUUAUCCAAAGGAAAGGCAAGGACCAAUACAGCUUGGCACCUGUGACGUCGCAACUCAUUUCUACAGCUGAGUGAACUGGAGCAAUGUGAAAUAAAGUGUCUUGCUCAAGAACACAACACGCAGCCUGGUCUGGGAUUUGAACUCACAACUUAACGAUUGUAAGCUCGACGCUCUAACCACUGAGCCUGUGCUUUCACUAAACAUGCAGUAAAACUAUUCAAACAUCGCCACUAGCUUUCCAAACCCUGCUGCAUUUCACAUGGAAUAUUUGGUCCCCCAAAGUUACCUUGGUAUAUAAGACAACCUACCAUAAUUCGACAAAUUCAAUUUGUGUGCUGGAAAAUACAAUAGUCCUCUUGAUAUUAGUUACUUUUAGGCGAGCUGGCAGAACCGUUAGCACGGCGGGCGAAAUGCGUUGCCGUAUUUUGUCUGCCGUUACGUUCUGAGUUCAAAUUCCGCCAAGGUCGACUUUGCCUUUCAUCCUUUUGGGGUUGAUAAAUUAAGUACCAGUUGCACGCUGGGGUCGAUGUCAUCGACUUAAUCCGUUUGUCCCCUCUAUGUUUAGCCCCUUGUGGGUAAUAUAGAAACAGAUAUUAGUUACUUUUAUGUUUAAUGGAUUUUGUUAAGUAAGCCCUCAAGUGGUCUCCACACAAAAAGGGACAACUUUCCAAGGAAUCCACCAGGACAGCGUGAUCCCAUAUUUUCUAUCCACAAUUGGAAUUAUAGUGGAAUUACUACAUGACAUGGAGUUUACUAUACAAAUAAUAUUUGGUCAUGCAUUGUUGCUUAAUUUUGCUCCAGACUUGUGUUAUUUCAUCCAACCAUUUAGCAUUUAAUCCAGCUAUAUUCAGCCCAAAUAUUCUGCCUGUUUUAUUUUCAAACUAGUCAGAUCCAGCCUCUCACAUCUACUCUACAAUGUCAUUCUGAAAUCUUGAAACUACAUGAUAAUAUAUGAUUAAUUCACAAUAACAUGAAUAAAUAAUCAUUGCAUUUGACGGAGUAAUAUCUGAAAUGCUAAAGGGUUAAUCUUUUAGCAUUCACAUUAAUCUGUAAAAUGUAAUGCUUAUGUAUUCACAAUCAUCAUCAUCAUCAAUUAACAUCCAUUGUCCAUGCAGGCAUGGGUUGGAUGGUUUGACCAGGGCUGAUAAGCUGAGGGGCUGCACCAGACUCAAGCCUGAUUUGGCAUGGUUUCUAUGGUCGGAUGCCCUUCCAGAUGCCAACCACACUGAGAGUGUAAUGGGUACUUUUACAUGCUGCCAGCAUGGGUGCUAUUUGUGUGUCACCAGUAUCUGCCAUGACUGUUUUCAUUUGGUUUGAUGGGGUCUUCUCAAGCACACCAUAUUGCCAAAGGUCUAGGUCAGUUGUCAUUGCCUCCAUGAAGCCCAAUGCUCGAAAGUUGUUUUUACGUGCCACUGGCAUGGGUGCUAGUUAUGUGACACCAGCAUCAGCCACAUUGCCUCCAUGGGACUCAAUGCUCGAAAGGUGCUGUUUACAUUCCACCUGCAUGGGUGCUAGUCAUGUGACACCAUCAUCAACAGCCACUAUGAUUUCAUUUGGUUUGAUGGGCCUUCUCAAGCACAGCAUAUCUCCAAUGGUCUUGGUCACUAGUCAUUGCCUCCAUGAGACCCAACGUUCGAAGAUCAUACUUCACCACCUCAUCCCAUGUCUUCCUGGGUCUACCUCUACCAUAGGUUCUCUCCACAGUAGAGGUAGAUCUAGUAAAACAUGGGAUGAGUCAGUGAAGCAUGAUCUUCAAAUGUGCUUGAAUUAAUCAUGCAUUACCUCAUAGCUUUGAGAUUUCAAUGACAUGAUAGUCUAUUUUUAGAGUGAUAUUGUGGGGUAGGUAUGAGAGGCAAGAUCUGGCCUGUUUGAUCAUAAAAUAGUCAGAUUAUUUGGGUUAGAUAUGGCUGGUUUAAAUGCUAAACGGUUCAGGUAAGUAUUGAAAUACAUUGCUACCAUGGAACACAUUUGCUCACAAGUCUGGGAAGCAGUUUUGUUAAAAGGAUGUUUGAGGUUAAUUUUUACAGGAUAUUGUAGCACCUGAACCACCACCUGACUAACACAAACCCUGAUGUUGUGCUUAAAAGAUGCAGGCUGAUUUUCUUGAACAUGAUUUUGGAGAAAAGAAAUAGCAUACACGCCAGAGGCUGUGAAACAUGGUACAUUUCAUUAACUUGCAGUUUCUUUUAUUAUUUUGGUUCUUUAUUUCAUAUUUUCAAAUGUCUUGGCUUUGGUUUAUAUCAUUAUAAAUUUGGGUUUUCUACUUCUGUAUGCAAUACUUCUUUAUUUCUUUGUCUGUCUAUUUGUCCAUUCUUGUCGCCAUUUCUGUUUCCUAAAUUAGUCAAUUGUUUGGGAAUCCUGUAAAAUGAGGGAUCUAAUUUUUCCUUUUUCUUCUCAUUAUAUCUUAUUAACCAUCAAAUACAGUACAUUUCAAUAGCCUGCUGUGUCAUUUUCCUUAUUUCAUUUCUUUAUUUCAACUUUAUCUUAUGACCUUUUUUUCUUCUUUUUAUCAUGGCCUCUAUUAUCAUUUUGGUUUCAGUUAUUUUGUUUGUGGGUUUAUUUUAUGUAUAUCUCUUGUCUCUGCUCCAAGUCUCAUUUCUGCAUGGGUGCAAAUUUUCCCUCUUAUCCAAAAUUCAUUUUGUAAAUUUGCCAUUUUGUUUUUUUUUUUUUUCCAUAUUUUAUUGGUGAUGGGAUUUUUGUGCCUGUUUUUUUUUUUCAUCUCCUUUUGUUUUUUACUUUGAUUAAAUUUAGAAGUAUCUGAUAGUCAAAGACUGCCAAUAUAGAGCACUUUGUCGAGUGCUUAUUGUAACUAGCUAGAAACUUCACAUUACUAAAAUUAUAUAUUGCUGUAGUGAACUUUGUCAUUCAUCUUCCUGUGGGAGAUGGUUUGAUGCACGCACCACACACACACACACACACACAAAAUACUAGUGGUCAAUUCAGUCAAUUAGUUUCUUUUCUGUAAAAAUUGUCUGUUUACUUAAUCAAAACAAAUCAAUAUGUAAGCAAUAUGAAUUGUUAUUUAUAUAGUAUACCGAAUCUGUCAUUUGGUAAGUAAUGACUGGAAGGAAAACUACUUAAAUCAAUCACAUAUGAAGUUUGAAUAAUAUCGUAAGCAAGUGAACAAUAACAGAGAUUGCUACAACUGACUCAAGCCAGAUUGAAGAGUUACUGCCGGCUGAUAGUAAGGAAUUUUUGCUUAACAGGUACAGGAAAUUGGAGUGACAGAGAAGUUUACCAGUAUGUUGUGCAAUGAGAAAGAGAAGAUUAUUAUCAUUAUCAUUAUUAUUAUUAUUAUUAUUAUUAUUAUUGUUAUUAUCAUUAUUAUUAUUAUUGAGUGAGAGAGCAGUGCAUGCCAUCAAAGUGACACUGGAGUAAAAUAUACGAAGCCCAGUAUACCCAUCAUGACUACCCGUCUGAUAAGGAUACUCCAGGCACAUGUAUCACAACCAUAUGUGCGUGACAUGGUGAUCUCAUCGAGAUUAACAGCAAGUGGGGCCUAGUUAGAAUUUUCUUCAGGUCGAGUAACCCAUCCCACUCAGAAGGUCCUUGAAUAAGGGUUGUUUAAGGAUGUUAAACGAAACACCCAUGUUUCCAGAGGUGAAUUAUCCGAACCCCAAACAAUUUCUUUCAACACACGACUAUGAUGCUCCAUCACUACUUCUACUCCUGAUCAGAGAUGCCCAUAUUGUCAGCCACCAAGGGACAUGCUCAACUGGUUAAAGUCCAUCAACUGACAAGCAAAUCUAUGGUAUUGAGCAGAAUAUUUGCUGUAGCGCAUCUUUUAUAUCAAGACAAAACAAUCGGUUACGCUGAGAAGUCAUGAGAGUCACUGCCUGGUACACACACAAAAGAAAAAGAGAUAACAAAGGAAUAAAUGAUCAUCUUGUGAACUUCAUUAGCUUACAGCCGUUCCACUAUAAGCUAUGAUGGACUCAUAGUUGUGUGCCUGAGUAACACCUUACAGCUUCAUCAGAGCCUCAAACAUGAAGUGCAAUAUAUUUAUAUAUAUAUAACAGGCAUCUUUUAGUUUCUGUCUACCAAAUCUAUCCACAAGGCUUUGUCCACCCAGGGUUAUAGUAGAAGACACUUCCUCAAGGUGCCUUGCAGUGGGACUGAACCUAAGACCACAUAAUUGGGAUGGAAGCCUCUUAACUAUACAACCAUGCCUGUGCUUUCAAGUGUCAAAUAUGAUUUCAUAGAUAAUAUUAAUCUUCUGAGAAUUGAGUGGCUGGACAGUAACUGACAAAAUGCCGAACCAUUAGAGUUUUAAUAAUUUUAGCUCAUUUAUAUGAUGAUUUAGUAGCUGAUGAAUAAAUCACAUUUAUUCAGAAACAUAUUACAGCAAGUCUGACAAAUGUUUCAUUGUCCUGACAGCUGCAAUGACAAAUCUGUUAUUGCAAAGGAUAUGCAAUGAAAGAGCCAUUUCACCUUCUGGGGACGACUGCUGUAGAUGGCAAUCUGUGUCCCAAGCAAACUGAGUUGGGAGGUAGUUUAGAAGCCCAGGAUACUUCAUGUUCUUUACUAGUAUAAGCUUGGAAAGAACUUUAUAGAUUGUUUUACUUCCCAUACAGUGCAGGCAUAGUUGUGUGAGCAAAAAGACUGCAUUGCAAUCAUGGUUCUGUGUUUAAUACCAUUAAGUAGCACUGUGGGCAAGUGUUUGCUACUUUAGCCUUGAGUUGGUGACCCAAGCUUUUUUGUAAGUGAAUUUGGAUUGAUGGAAGCUUGUUGAUAUAUUUGAUGUUGGGUGGGGGACUUAAACUGUGGCUCAAUUUAGCAUCGCUAUCUCAUCUUUGGGUACUUUAGUGGAGAGCAGGUGUUUGAACCUGGUUCGUGUUUACAGAUGUCUCAUGAGUUGUGGUUUCUCUUCAUCCCAGCAAUUUUGGAAGUUCUGUAAAACGGCCAUGGCUACUUAGUCCUUCUUUUGACGAAGCCAUUAAAGAAAAAUCACAGAACAUAAACAGAAUUAAAUUAAUGCUUUGAGAAAUUGAACGACAUUGUAUACUUUAAGAAAUAACAAGAAAAAGAUGGACAAAAUUAACACCAUCUGAGGAAAUUCAGAUAUCUCAAGGUUGCAUCUGAUUAUUUCAAAAAUAAUCAAUUUUAACAAUAUUAAAAAAAAAAAAUUAUGUUGGAAAGUGAUAUAGAAAAAAUUUUUAAACUUCAAUCAAAAGUCAACAGUACAAAUUAUGAUAAUAAUUAUGAUAAUGCUGUAGAAAUAUCGAAUUUCUCGAAAAUAAAAAUUAUUUUAUUCUCUGAAUUUAAUAUGAUGCACUGUAAAAGUGCAUGUAUAACACACACUGGUUUUGGGCUAUAUAAAUUGUUUUAAAACCCUGUAAUAUCUUGUACAAUAUAUGCAGUGUUGCAUGACAGAUACAAGAGUAGAUGAGCUACCAUAAUCCAAUGUAUUAGUUUUUGAUAUUUCAUUUUAUGUGAAAUCUAUUGAUAUAUAAUAAAAUAUGAUCUAAAAACAUAAUAAUAAAGCUUUAUUUAUAUUUGCUAUUUUUUUUUUCUUAAUAGUGGGUGGAGCAAAAUUUUGCAGCUUAAUACUAUGUAUACUCUUUUACUUGUUUCAGUUAUUUGACUGCAGCCAUGUUGGAGCACCACCUUUAAUCGAGCAACUUGACUCCAGGGACUUAUUCUUUUGUAAGCCCAGUACUUAUUCUAUCGGUCUCUUUUGCCGAACUGCUAAGUAACGGAGACAUAAACACACCACCAUCGGUUGUCAAGCAAUGCUAGGGGGACAAACACAAAUAUACAUAUAUACGACGGGCUUCUUUCAGUUUCCGUCUACCAAAUCCACUCACAAGGCUUUGGUUGGCCCGAGACUAUAGUAGAAGAAACUUGCCUAAGGUGCCACGCAGUGGGACUGAAUCUGGAACCAUGUGGUUGGUAAACAAGCUACUUACCACACAGCCACUCCUGCGCCUAUAAUAUGCAUCUGUAAUUUUAAUCUUGACUUUUGUAAAAAAAAAAAAUUUAAAUGGAUUUUGCACAUAGUGUUUUACCAUGUGAGUAUGUGACUAUAUAUGCUCUCUUCUGUUGUUUUUUUUUUUUUUAUUUGAAGUUUUCCUGUAAGGAAAGAGCUGGUUUCUCACAGAGAUACAAAGCUCUAUCAUUGGAAUAUUGAUAUCAAAAGUAAUGCCACAUUUAUCAAAUCAAAUCAAUCAAAAUCGAUGACUGGUGUCCGUGCUGGCAGGGUGCAAAGCGUGAUCAUUGACAGAGCAGCUAACCGACUUCCGUGCCAGUGGCAUUUAAAGGGCACCAUUCGAGCGUGAUCAUUACCAGUGUUGCCUUACUGGUACUUGUGCCUAUGCUAGUAGGGUGCCAAGAGCACCAUCCGAGUGUGAUUGAUGCCAGAGCAGCCAACUGGCUUCCGUGCCAGUGGCACGUAAAAGGGCACCAUUCGAGCGUGAUUGUUACCAACGUCACCUUACUGACACCUGUGCUGGUGGCAUGUGUAAAAGGAUUCGAGCAAGGUCGUUGCCAGUGCCACCAGACUGCCCCCCAUGCCGGUGGCACGCAAAAAGUACCCACUACACUUUUGGAGUGGUUGGCAUUAGGAAGGGCAUUCAGCUGUAGAAACUCUGCCAAAUCAAGAUUGGAGACUGGUGCAACCAUCUGGUUCGCUAGCCCUCAGUCAAAAUCGUCCAACCCAUGCUAGCAUGGAAAGCGGACGUUAAAUGAUAAUGAUGAUGAUGAUGAGGUAUCUCUUUCCCUCCACUUCCUCUGAUUCAUUUUGAUUGUUUCUUGUUUGCUUACAUGGGGUUAGAUGAAUAUGUUAUUGAGGUGUUGUUUUACUGCUGGAUGCCCUUCCAGCUGCUAACCCUUGACCUGUUUUUCCAGGUAAGGAAAAAAGAAAUCUCUCGUUCACACAGGCUCAAAGUGAGAAGAUGAUUUGUGGAUGAGAGAACUCGUAACAGCAACACUGCUGUAUGUUGCAACUUCUGCUUAAGUGAGUGAUAUGUAAACAAACACACAGAAACACAUGCACACACAGAAACAGACACACACACACACCUCUGUUCCAAUGUAGUCUUGUCCAAACUAUGCAAAUACAGAAAAGUGGAUAACUCUAUCUCACACGCACAUAUCAGAUGCAUAACUAAGAACCACAUAUGCUAGAACCUCAAAAAAACCACAGAUUAUCCAAUUGCCUGAUAGGAGAUCUUCAGCAAGUAUCACCACUUGGAUAAAUAUUUACUGAAGCACCUGUACCAAUCAACAUAAAAAGCACCCAGUACACUCUGUAAAGUAGUUGGCAAUAGGAAGGGCAUCCAGCUGUAGAAGCUAUGCCAAAACAGACAAUUGGAGCCUGGGCAGCUCUCUGGCUUACCAGCAUGGGAAACAGCCAUUUGUUGACGAUGAUGAUAUGUGUGUCUGUGUGUGUGUGUGUGUGUGUGCACACACACACACACACACUUUGUAAAUGUGUUUGAUUGUGUCUCUUUAUCUUAACAUUGCUUAAUAAUUGUAAACAAGUGUCACUGUCAGGCGUAGGAGUGGCUGUGUGGUAAGUUGCUUGCUUACAAGCCACAUGGUUCCGGGUUCAGUCCCACUGCAUGGCACCUUGGGCAAGUGCCUUCUACUAUAGCUUCGGGACGACCAAAAUCCUUGUGAGUGGAUUUGGUAGAUGGAAACUGAAAGAAGCCCGUCGUAUAUAUGUGUGUAUAUAUAUAUAUAUAUAUAUAUAUAUAUAUAUAUAUAUAUAUAUGUGUGUGUGUGUGUGUGUGUGUGUGUGUGUGUGUAUAUGUUUGCGUGUCUGUGUUUGUCUCCCCACCAUCGCUUGACAACCGAUGCUGAUGUGUUUACGUCUCCGUAACUUAGCGGUUUGAUAAAAGGAGCCGAUAGAAUAAGUACUAGGCUUACACUGAAUAAGUCCUGGGGUCGAUUUGCCCGACUAAAUGCGGUGCUCCAGCAUGGCUGCUGUCAAAAGACUGAAACAAGUAAAAGAGAGUAAAGAGUUAUACAAGCAGCGGCCUACAUUUCCAAUCUUCUGUGAAAACAUUUCUGACCUUGUCUAGAAACAAGCAAAGGUUGGUGACAGGAAGAGCAUCUGGUCAUUGAAAAUUUGCCUCAGCUAAUUCCAUUCAACCUUUGGUAGUAUGGAAAAGUGGACAUAAAAGCAAUGAUGAUGAUUCAUGAGAGAGAAUUGCAUCACUUUGUCUCCAACAAUUCGGUGCAACACCAGUGUAGAAUCACCCUCCCUCUGACAAGUCAUCCUAACGAGACAUCUGCGUUGGCUGGGUCAUGCCCUCUGUCGUCAACCAGGAGAAUUCAUCUACGAGGCAAUUGCCCCAGCUACCCUUCAGGGUUGGCGAAAGUGUUAUGGUGGACAACGAAAAACCUGGCUGAUGACGGUCAAGGCUGAUCUGGAACCCAACCUAGGCCCCCAUAUCUACGGCGUUCGCCGCUGAAAUAAGGAGUGGUUGGAGAUCACGCGGUCGCUAGCCUCAAAUCGCCAGGCCUGGUUGGCAUUUGUGAGAAAUGCAGCAGUGAGGAUGAAUGAAGCCAGCUCAACCCACCCCGGGUCAAUGCCGUAAGAAGAAGAAGAAGAAGAAGAGAUGAGAGAGAAUUAAUGUAUAAUCCUAUAUAAGUAAAGGAUAUUUAAUUAUAUUCUUUUUUUCAAUGAUGAUAUAAGUGUUAUGAGCUGCAGCAGAUGGUCUCUCCCACCAUUUAGCUAGCGACCUCCUCUCUCUCUCUCUUUCACUACUUUAUUGUCUCCUUAUGCUUUUAGCAAUAGAUAAAUCAAUGAACUUAUAAUUUUUCUCCCAUUCUGUUAUAUGCUUUAUUAUUUAAUUUGGAAGCAAACGUGAAACGUGAAAAGUCAGAGCGCAAGCCCCAUUGUCUGUCUGUCUCAUUCUCUAUUUCUCUCAUAUGCACAGAAAUUCACACAUAUUACAAAUUGUGUGCAUGAUCUAUAACGUGUGUGUGUCUGUGUACAUGUAUAUUACACACACAUAUAUAUAUACUCUUUUACUUGUUUCAGUCAUUUGACUGCGGCCAUGCUGGAGCACCGCCUUUAAUCGAGCAAAUCUUAUUCUUUGUAAGCCUAGUACUUAUUCUAUCGGUCUUUUUGCUGAGCUGCUAAGUUACAGGGACACACACCAGCAUCGGUUGUCAAGUGAUGUUGGGGGAACAAAGACAGACACACACACAUAGACACACAUAUAUACAUAUAUACAACGGGCUUCUUUCAGUUUCUGUCUACCAAAUCCACUCACAAGGCUAUAGUAGAAGACACUUGCCCAAGGUGCCAUGCAGUGGGAAAGAACCUGGAACCAUGUGGUUCGUAAGCAAGCUACUUACCAUACAGCUAAUCCUACGCCUAUAUAUAUAUAUAAAAUGUGUAAAAGUAGUCAUCAAUCCCAUCCUUUUUGUCUGCUUUUUUCUUAUUUCUGUGGUUUGGAAAGCACUGUGUCUUAUCAUUUAUUGCCAUUGCUUUUGUGAGGUUCAGCCUUCACCAUUUCUUCCUAUGUCUUCUUUGAUCUUCCUCUUCUGCAUACAACUUCUGUCUUCCACAGGCAUAAUUUGCCUGUCUUCCAUAUUUGGAAUUUCUUCUCUAAUUAUUUGAUAGAUUCAUCAGUAAAAACCUGAUUAUCAACAUACAGGAGUUUCCAUGGACAGUUGGUUUUAAACUCCUCUGAUACUGUCUGAAGAAGUUUAACAAAAGAAAGAGUCUUAGAACUGAGUCCUGGUGGACAUGUAUAAGCACAAGGACUGAAAUUUUGGGGGAGGGGGCUACUGAAUUACAUAUACCCCAGUGCUCGACUGGUACUUGUUUCAUUGACCCCUAAAGGAUGAAAAGAAAAGUUUACCUUGGUGGAAUUUGAACUCAGAAUGUAAACAUGGGUGAAAUGCCGCUAAGCGUUUUGUGUGGCAUGCUAGCUAACGAUUUUGCCAGCUUGUUGCCUUAAUAAUAAUAAUAAUAAUAAUAAUAAUAAUAAUAAUUCUUUCAACUGGAAGUACAAGGCCUCAAAUUUGGGGGAAGGGAUUAAGUCGAUUACAUUGACCCCAGUGCAUAACUGGUACUUAUUUAAUCGACCCUGAAAGGCUGAAAGCAAAGUCUACCACAGCGGAAUUUGAACUAAUAAUAAUAAUAAUAAUAAUAAUAAUAAUUAUUAUUAUGAUAAUUAUUAUUAUUGUUCUUGUUGUCUUUGGAACAUUGAGUUCAAUACCAUCCAAUCUGAAGAAGUAUUUGGACACCUUAGACAUACCCUUCAAUCUUAGCAUGUUGCAAAAAUCAGCUUUACUUGGAACUGCAUACAUACUGUGUAAUGUACUGACUCUCUGAGGUCUUCGUGGUGACUUGGCAGAUGGCAUAAACCCCCUGUAUACACAAUACCUUCAAUCUACAUACAACAUCACAUUAUUGGAUACUGUGUGACACAUUUCUUUCACUUUUCAAUGAUUAGCAAAUGAGUGACUAUCUUUCCAUACAGACACAACACAGGCUAUGCUUUCAGGCUUUUUUGGAUAAAGUAUGCAGAAAUAAUCCAAUAGGUUCACCAUUAAUUAUGUGAAAUAUUCAUGGGUCCUGCUAGUGAUAAUAAUUGUUUCUAGUUUUGGCUAAAGGAGCAGUCAGUUAUAUAGGCUCCAGUAUUUUGCUAGUACUUUUCUCUACAAAGUUGAUCUCAGCAGGAUUUGAACCCAGAACUAAAAGAACCAGUAAAGAUAUCCAUUUUGUAACAAUUCUGCUAAUCCUUAUAACAAUAUAACAUCUCUAGUUCAAGCAAAGCUUAGGGCCAGAAAUUUUGAGGGGAAGAAAUAAGUUGAUGUGACUGACUCCACUAUCAGUACUUGACCGAUAAUUUAUUUAAGGAAAGGCAAAGUUGACCUCACCAGAAUUUGAACCCAGGAAGUAAACUACCAGAGUCAAUAACAUAAGGCAUUUUUGUCCUAUGCUCUAACAAUUCUGCCAACCAACGACAAUAAUUGUAUGUAUGAAUGUAUGUGUGUGUGUGUGUGAGAGAGAGAGAAGGUGGGGGGAUAUUGGUAUUGUAUAAAUAUAACAAAGCUUUUGUUUUGAUCUUUUCAGAAGUCUAAUUUAUUCUAAACAUUAUUAUGCUUUGUUCACAAUUUAUAUCGUUUUUAUUUAUAUUUUUAAUCUGACCUAUUUAGCUGACAGUUCACAGCCAGUCACACAUCCGACCAUUACCCAAUUAACCAACCAUCUGUUGUCUUCAUAUCACAUCAGUAGGUGACUAACACUGUUCUUUUUUUGUUUAGCCCUAGGUUAGGACUGAUUGAAUGAACCACUAUGGAUGGUUUAGAUCAGUGGUUCUCAACCAUUUUUACCCUAUGGACCCCCUUGAUUCCUCUUUUACUCGGGUGGACCCUUGUAGCCAUUCAAUGCUUUAAAAAAUCCUAUAAUCAUCAUCAUCAUCAUCGUCGUUUAAUGUCUGCUUUCCAUGCUAGACUGAGGACUGGCGAACCAGAUGGCUGCACCAGGCUCUAAUCUUGAUUUGGCAAUUUCUACAGCUGGAUGCCCUUCCUAGUGCCAACCACUAAGAGGUUAAAGCAUUGCAAUUUCAGCUUUUGUUUCUAUGUCUGGAAUUUCUUCUUCAGAUCUACAGAUUCCGUUAAAAGAACUAAGUCUCUAUAGAUAUUCAACCUUAAAUACCUUUGUUAUGGUUUAGAGGACUAUAAUAAAUAGAGUGAGUUCUGAGCCCUGAUAGGCCCCUAUCCACAUGCUAAGUUAUUGAUUACUUAACUCAUUGCUGACCCUUUCUCUGUACAUAAUUUGUAUAGCCCUCACAAGCCUUUUGUCUACACUCAGUAACUUAAAGAUUACAGAAGGGAGAAUCUUGUGAAAGGGUUUCUGCAGGUUUAUGAAUGCUAAGUUGUCUUAAAAGGGAUUUGGCAUCAGUGGUGUCUGUUCUUAGCACAAAACCAAACUGCAUUACUUCCAGAUUAAUUCAGUUCCAAAUCAAUUUUGAAAACUCUUUCUGUAACUUGUCUUACAGACUUUUUUUUUUUUUCUUUUUUACUUGUUUCAGUCAUUUUGACUGCGGCUAUGCUGGAGCACCGCCUUUAAUCGAGCUAAUCGACCCUGGGACUUAUUCUUUGUAAGCCCAGUACUUAUUCUAUCGGUCUCUUUUGCCGAACCGCUAAGUGACGGGGACGUAAACACACCAGCAUCGGUUGUCAAGCAAUGCUAGGGGGACAAACACAGACACACAAACAUACACGCACAUACAUAUAUAUACAUAUAUACGACGGGCUUCUUUCAGUUUCCGUCUACCAAAUCCACUCACAAGGCUUUGGUCGGCCUGAAGCUAUAGUAGAAGACACUUGCCCAAGGUGCCACGCAAUGGGACUGAACCCAGAACCAUCUGCAUGUGUAUGUAAAUUAUAACUGUGUGUGUGUGUGCACACAUGUGUAUGUAUGUAUAUAUUUGUGUGUUUUUGUCUCCCCACUAUUGCUUGACAACCGAUGUUGGUGUGUUUACAUCCCCAUAACUUAGCAGUUCAGCAAAAGAGACCGAUAGAAUAAGUACUAGGCUUACAAAGAAUAAGUCCUGGGGUUCGAUUUGCUCGACUAAAGGUGGUGCUCCAGCAUGGCCACAGUCAAAUGAUUGAAACAAGUAAAAGAGUAAAGAGAUUAGCAUAGUUGGCCUUUCACUGAUUUCUAAUAUUUGAAAUCAAAGACAACUGUUCAUUGAUACAAUGGAUGAAGGGUGUCCUUAGUCAUGACCACCUAAACAUUUUAGAAGUAAGAAGGACUACUCUAUACAAUUACUGUGUCCUUUUUUAGCUCUUUAGCAUUCAGAUUACUCUGUCAAAUAUGUUUAUUUCAUCAUCAUCAUCAUUUAACGUCCGUUUUCCAUGCUAGCAUGGGUUGGAUGGUUCGACUGGGGUCUGGUAAGCCAUGGAGGCUGCACCAGGCUCUAGUCUGAUUUGGCAGUGUUUCUACAGCUGGAUGCCCUUCCUAACGCCAACCACUCCGUGAGUAUAGUGGGUGUUUUUUACGUGCCACCGGCACAGGAGCCAGAGCAAGCUGGCAAACGGCCAUGAUCGGUUUGUGCUAACGUUUCUGCCAGCUUGCCACCUUUUCCCUGCAACUUAACAAGUCAAAUUUAAUGCACCACACUUAUUACCUAAGGUGGUCUAGCCAUGGCCACCCCACCUUUCAGAGUAUGUAAGACUAAAUUAUUUAAUUAAUGUGUCCUUUCCUUUAUUUAUGAUACUAAUAUGUGAUUUGUGGUAGAAUUUUGUAGCUAUUUCUAGCAUGUUGUGUGACUACAUAGUGGUUCUCUCAUUGGUUAAAUACACUGAUGUUUCACAAAGCCUUCCCCAGACCACUACAAGGACUUGCAAGUUCAGCUAAUUAAUCACUCAUUUCUAGAAAACCAAUGAAGGAAAUUCUGAUUAAGCAGACCUCUUACCAAAGACAUUCUAACAGUGGCAAUCCUGUCUUUAGUCAGAAUGAUGUAACUGGGAUUAAAUUACCGCAAUGUUCCAGGCAUGUUUCGCUGAGGGAAAGCCUUUCUCUUCCAGGUCUUGUUAGUUAGGAAUUGUCAUUGAUACUUCUAGAACUUUGCUUUUUUCUAGGUUAAGGGUGUUGGCCCCACCAAACCCAUUUUAACUGCGGGGAAGAAGUGGUUCAUAUUAGUCUGGCCUCUGUCCUCUGGCUUGUCCAGCAUGGGAGACCCUACUAGGAGUUUGCACUCCAUUGGCAUAGCUCUCAGGGUCAUGGACCACCACAAUGUAACAAGGUGUGGACCUCAUGGUGGACAACCCUAGCACUCCAUCAGUUACAACAUGGGAGUUCCAGUUGAUCCAGUUAACUGCCUGCUCGUGAAAUUAAUGUGCAAGUGGCUGAGUACUCCACAGACAUGUGUACCCUUAACAUAGUUCUCAGGGAGAUUCAGCACGAUACAGAAUGUGACUAGGUUGGCCCUCUCAGUUAUAGGUACAACUAAUUUUUUCAAGCUAAGUGGACUGGAGCAACAUGGAAUAAAGUGUCUUGCUCAAGGACAUAACAUGUCAGGAAUCGAACUCGUGACCUGACAAUCUUGAGCUGAAUACUCUAACCACUGGGUUGGUACUUAUUUAUUGACCUCAAAAAGAUAAAAAGCAAAGCUUACCUCAAUGAGAUUUGAAUUCACAAUGCUUAAUUUGUGAUGCAGUCUGUCCAAUGCUCUAAUGUCUAUCAAUUUGCAGCUAAGCUCCCUUCUUAAAACUAAACACUACCAUUAAAAAAAAAAAACAGAGGUACAUUGGAUAGUGUACUCCUACAACACAGUACCUUAGAGAACAAAUGAUAGGAUGUUCUCUGUUGAAAUGCAUUACAUCCUAAAUCUGCCAUCAUCAUGGCUGUCCUUUGGCUAAACAACAGCAGCUAAAAGAGGCCUUCCCUUCAGCUGCAUUUUACUGUUGUUAGCAAACCCUUUGACAUCUUUUAAAAUGAUGGUCACAUGUUUUUGAGACGGCCACUGCUACCUCAUCAAUCAAUCAGUGCAUAUAUGAGACACACAAUCUAUGGUUUGAUUUCUUAAGUGUUUGAUUGGUUAGACACAUGCCAGAGUUGCGUAGUCAGUCAACAUGCAAAAGUAGAUAUGCAAGACGAAAAGGUAGAUUACAAAUAACAUGUUAUAUGCAUAAAUAAUGCUUUAUGCAUCUCAUAUAUGUUAAAAGCCUCUCAGGCACACAAAUACGCAUAUAUAUAUAUAUAUGUUAAUAUAUACAUAUCCACAUCCAAAAUGUGUGUUCGUGUGUCUGAGCGUGUAUGAAUGAGUGUGUGUAUGCAUAUGUAUGUAACUCUUUCUGCAACUUUCACACAAGAAAACUCCCCUAAUUUUCAUAAACACACAUGGCAGACUCACCUGUCAUAAACGACAGGUGAGGAUUUAGCAAUUUCUUGCUCAGUUACAUACACAGGUGAUUUGUUUAUUAUGAUCAAAUGCUUGUGCUGUACAUUAGCUCUCUCUCCUUCCAUUAAAUCAAUAUUGCCUGUACAGGUGUAUCGCAUAUACAUAUGCGAGCAUGUGUGUAUGUAUGUGUGAGUAUACAUAUGUGUGUGCCUGUACAUGUGUAUGGCACAUACAUACACACAUGGCUGUGUGGUAAGUAGCUUGCUUACCAACCACAUGGUUCCGGGUUCAGUCCCACUGUGUGGCAUCUUGGGCAAGUGUCUUCUGCUAAAGCCUCGGGCCGACCAAUGCCUUGUGAGUGGAUUUGGUAGACAGAAACUGAAAGAAGCCUGUCGUAUAUAUAUGUAUGUGUGUCUGUGUUUGUCCCCCCACCAUUGCUUGACAAGUGAUGCUGGUGUGUUUACGUCCCCGUCACUUAGCGGUUCGGCAAAAAGAGACGAUAGAAUAAUUACUGGGCUUACAAAGAAUAAGUCCCGGGGUUGAUUUGCUCGACUAAAGGUCAUGCUCCAGCAUGGCCGCAGUCAAAUGACUGAAACAAGUAAAAGAGUAAAAGAGCAUAUAAUAUCCAUCCAUCCAUCAAUCAAUCAAGAUAGAACCAAAGUGCAUGGCUCAGUGGUUAGUGACCGGCUUACAGUUGUGAGGUUUGAGAGUUUAAUUCCCAAACCAGGCUGUGUGUUGCAUUCUUGAGCAAGUCACUUUAUGUUACUCCAGUUCACUCAGCUGUAGAAAUGAGUUGUGACAUCACUGAUGCCAAGCUGUACUAUCCUUUGCCUUUCCCUUGGAUAACAUCAGUGGUGUGGAGAGGGGAGGCCAGUAUGCAUGGGCGACUGCUGGUCUUCCACAAACAACCUUGCCCAGACUUGUGCCUCGGAGGGGAAUUUCUAGGUGCAAUCCCAUGGUCAUUUCUGACCUGAGGGAGUCUUUGCCAUUUUCUUAUAGACAUAUAAAAGCUGUCAAUCUGUCUGUAUGUGUGUAUACAUAUAUGUGUGUAUAUAUGUGUAUAUGUGUUUAUGUAUAUAUGUGCAUGUAUGUGUGUGUAUAUAUAUAUAUAUAUGUGAGUGUGUGUAUAUGUGUGUGUAUGUAAAUAUAUAUGUGUGUGCGUAUAUAUAUUACGCACAUAAAAUAUACAUGAGUGUUUUGUGCAUGAGAGGCAUUUAACAUACAUGAGAUGUCUACAAUACAUGUACAUAGAUAUAAAGGAUUUACAAAAAUAAAAUAAAAUAAAAUAAAAUGAAAGAGAAAGAGAGAAUAAACAAACAUUAUGAAUCUCAUUAUUGUUUAAAUACUUCCACUCUAAGAAUCAUUUGGUUUGAUGAAUGAAUUGUCCAAUGGUUGAUAGAAAACUGUCAAGCCAAUUUAAUGGUGAAUGAAGUGAGGAUUUCUCCUGAUAGGGAGAAUAAGAUACAAUAUACAUCCGUAUAAUCCUGUUGUGCUCAUAUAACCACUAAUUGUUCUGAACUGAUUAUCAAUCUGAAAGAGCUCUUUGAUAGUUUGUUAAUCAAUAUUGAUUAGUUUGUCUGUGUUUGUGUGGACAUCGUUUGAUAGCUAUGUCUUAAUUAAUGUGAACUCAGUUGGCGUUCACUUGAAAAACCUGUUUAGCAACUUCUCUCUCUCCCUCUCAACCCUACUACUACUACUACUACCACCACCACCACCACCAAUAAUAAUAAUAGUUGUAGUAAUAAUAAUGUGGUCUUAUAUCCCACCAAAGAUAAUGAGGAUUAAAUUUCUCUUAAUAAAAAUAUUAAUGGUUUCUUUUAUUAUCACAAGGACGAUGGAUGGCCCGUGUGGAAGAUGAUAUUAUGAGGACAAAUUACAAAAGGUUCUGUUGGGGGUGGGAAAAGGGGAAGGAUGGAGUGAAUUUACAUGGACUAUGAUGUGGUAUGAAAACAUAUAACUAUAGUGGUUUGAAAUAUAUGUGUCCUAAAAGCGGGUGGGGCAGUCAUCUUGAAUGAGGGAGCUGGUCGGGUCUGGUAUGGGGGUGGUAUGUGCCAUUGCAGCACGUCACUGCAGCAUCCAGUAUUUGCCUUCCAAACAGUUUCCCAGUCAGUAGUCCCCCAUCUCUGUGAGAUCCUUCCUCAUCCACCUUAACCAUGUGGUAUGUGGUUGACCAACAUGACCCAGCAUUCUCCAGCUGGAUCCUCAGAGAAAAGAACAUGAUCUGACUUGGAAUAUCAAGCAACAUGACCAAACAUUCUCAACUCAUAUGAGGUGGUAUCAAAAAGUUCCAGAACUCUCUCUGUCUUUCGGAGAGGCACAAGCAUCUACACGCACAUAUGCAUACACGGCAGUAACUUCCGCCUACCGAAUUCAAUCACAAAUGAUCUCAACAAUGGUGUUAAAAUGGUGACCUUUGAGCUGCAUUUUCAUCUUGGGGAAGAGAUGGAAGUUUGUCAAGUGCUAAAUUUGGCGAAUAGGGCAGGUGCAGAAGCGAUACCAUGUUGUUUUUGGUGAUAAGCUUGUGAGUGAGGAGAGCUUGGUGGAGAAUCCACUUCUUCGCACUCCACAGAUCCGGUCUCUUUCGCUGAAUGUCUUCCCUCAAACUCUUCAAAACGUUGCAAUAGAAUUCUUGAUUGACGGUUUGGCCCAGGAGGAUGAAUUCUCAAUGCACAAUACCACAUUUCCGGGCUUGAUGCUUGUGAAAGGUCUUCUAGAUCACUCACUGUCUUCCAGGGACAUUCUUCCACUUUUAAAGUGCCCAUGUCACUCAAAACAUUACUUCAUCGCCAUAAGCUUACCAAAGCAUGCUCAAUGUCUUUGUAGCAGAUUUUCCAAGUUUAACGCAAGAUUUCAUGUUGGCUCUUUGUUCCUGUCCAUGACAAAAUUGCAGACUACAGCAUACAUCAUCAUCAUCAUCAUCAUCAUUGUUUAACAUCCGCUUUCCAUGCUAGCAUGGGUUGGACGGUUUGACUGAGGACUGGCUGCACCAGGCUCUAAUCUUGAUCUGGCAGAGUUUCUACAGCUGAUUGCCCUUCCUAACGCCAACCACUCCGAGAGUGUAGUGGGUGCUUUUACUAGCCACCUGCACGGGGGCCUGUCAGGGGUUACUGGCAACGGCCACGCUCAAAUGGUGUUUUUUUACGUGCCAGCUGCACAAGAGCCAGUCCAGCAGCACUGGCAACGACCACGCUCGAAUGUUUUUUUACGUGCCUCCGGCACAAGUGCCAGUAAAGCGAUGCUGGUAAUGAUCACGCUUGAAUGGUACUGUUUACAUGCCACCGGCCCAUGUGAUCGCAAAAACACAAAUUUCACAACUUGCGAAGUAAACACAGCGAUGUCACUCAGUACAUUGCCUCAUGAAGGUCAAUUCUCCCAUUGCGCAUGCAACUAUAGAACUAGUCCAGGAACUUUUCCAUUCCGCCUUGUGCAAGUAACUGGAAUCUUCCCAGUUUCUGAGUAUAGUUGUUGGAUGGAUACAAAAACGUGACCAAUGGUAGCCCAUAAUCCUGUGAAUCCUGUUACUGAAGGAAUUUAGCCUAGGGAGGGGAGCCUAAUAAAUUUUUGAUUAGAGAGGGUAAAAAGCCCUUCUCCAUUUUACAUUUCCAGUUUACAUCACCAUAUGUUCAGAAUGGUAGUAAACAAAGAUAAUAACACUAGGGAACACAUAUUUUAGUGAAUGGUAUCUGACACUUGAUUCUAAGUAAUUUGGGUGCACUGAAUACGAAUUUCAACUCGGCUUGGCUCUAUCAGGUCCUGAUUCUUGUCAACUUAUGUGCCAUUUUCUAGAUUUUUCAAAUUAGGACUAAAAAAUUAAGUCAUGUGUUCAAAUUUAUUUUCAAGUUUCAUAAAUACAAGCUGUUCAAACUACUGUAAAAUUGCUUUAUAACAAUAGAAAUGACUUGAAAUAAAAUAAAAAAAAAUAAAGAGAUAUGAAACGUUCACUCUGACAAAAAUUUUCUUUUAUAACACUUUCUAGUGUAUUUGCUUGUUGUCUCUUUUCAAGCACCAACAAUUAUAAUUAUUGCAUUAUGUCCUUCAGUAAGAUGUAGAACUUGUGAUUGCUCUAGUUGGCAAACUGGGAUAAGUCUUCAUGACAUGAGGAAAGAGAAAACAUCCUGAAGUUACCAACGUCACUAGCAAAGCUGUUCGUUGGCUAUACGACACUUUUUUAAUGUUUAUCAUUGCACUGUCCUAAACAUGAAAAAAAAAAAAAGAGUUCUUUGUCUGAUGAAAAACUUUGCUUUUAACAUCAAGAUCCUUGUCUUCCUACAGCAUUUAUUCAAAUUUGAGAACUUACCAAAUUACUUUCUACAUUCAGUACAUACUGUAAAGUGGUUGGCAUUAGAAAGGGCAUCCAGAUGUAGAAAGCACACCAGACCUGAUCCUGGAAUAUGAUGCAGUACUUGGACCCAUCAGAUCUAGUUAAGCCAUUCAGCGAUGUCAGCAUAGAACAUUGAUGUUAAACAAUGAUGAUAAAUUAUUUUUAGCCUUCUUGGAUCCUGGUUUUUAUUUGACUGUUUGACAAAAUUUAGUUUUCAUUUUUUAAUUUACAGCUGAAUAUCAGAUCAAUUUGAGUUUUAUAAUGGAAAUGGUGCAGAUGAUAAGAAACUGUUUGGGAAAUGGACUUCAUUCAUAAUUCAAAGAGCCAACAUUAAGGGCACAAGUGUUUAUAUGGAAUACUCAGUUACUUCAGUGAGUUGGCAGUUCAGUUGAUCAAACUAUUGGAAUGGGUGUUUAGCCCACAUUAUUCCAUAAGGAGCAUCGGGUUGGUUUCCUUGGUUUCCAUGGAGUAUAUACUCCUCCCUGGACAGGAUGCCAGUCCAUCGUAGGAUCACUCAUUUUUACCAGCUGGGUGGACAGGAGCAAUGUGAAAUGAAGUGUUUUGUUCAAGAACACAGUGCAUUGCCUGAUCCAGGAAUCAAAAACCGCAAUCCUACGAUCAUGAGUUGAACACCUUAACCACUAAACCACGCACCUCCACAGACAACUGGAAUACUUACUAUUAAAACAGAUGGAAAUCCUCUUACUUAGAUGAUGAGGACAACAAUGAUGUUGAUUUCUAUUAAUUUGAAGCUGAGGGCUUCAAAUUCUGUGGGUGGAGUUAUAGUUGGUUUUGUUGACUCUGCAAAGAUGGGUUUAGAACUGAACAUAAAAAGCCAUGGCUAAAUAAUGCUCUCCUGAUUCUGCUCCUCUAGUGGAUGUAAUAAUAUUGGUUCCAAAUUCUGGUACAAGGCCAGCAAUUCCAGGGGAAGGGAUAAGUUGAUUACAUUGACCCUACUUAUUUUAUCGACCUCGAGAGAAUGAAAGGCAAAGUCAACCCUGGCAGAAUUUGAACACAAUUGCAGAGACGGAUGAAAUGCUGCUUAGUAUUUUGCCUGGUAUGCUAACAAUUCUGGGAGCAUGCUGCCAUAAUAAUAAUAAUAAUAAUAAUAAUAAUAAUAAUAAUAAUAAUCCUUUUUAUUAUAGGCACAAGGCCUGAAAUUUUGAUGGCAGGGCCAGUCAAUUAGAUCAACCCCUGUACGCAACUGGUAACUUAAUUUACUGACCCUGAAAAGAUGAAAGGCAAAGUCAACCUUGGCGGAAUUUGAACUCUGAAUGUACAGAUGAACUAAAUGUCGCUAAGCAUUUUGCCCGCCAUGCUAACGGUUCUGCCAGCUUGCUACCUUAGAUAAUAAUAACAAUAAUCCUUUUUACUAUAGGUACAAGGCCUGAAAUUUGGAGAAAGGGGAUAGUCGAUGACAUUAACCCCAGCACUUAACUGUUACUUAUUUUAUCAACCUGAAAGGAUGAAAGGCAAAGUCAACCUUGGCAGAGAGAAAGACAAAAUGCCGCUUAGCAUUUUGCCCACUGAGGUAAUGAUUCUGCCAGCUCACUGCCUUAAUAAUAAUAAUAAUAGUAAUAAUAAUCCUUUCUACUAUAGGCAAAAGACUUGAAAUUUGGGGGAGGGGGAUUAGUCAAUUACAUCGAUCUCAGUACAUAACUGGUACUUAACUUCAUUGACCCCAAAAGGAUGGAAGGCAAAGUUGACCUUGGUGGAAUUUGAACUCGGAAUGUAGUGUCAGAUGAAAUAGUACUAAGCAUUUUGCCUGAUGCGCUAAUGAUUUUGCCAGCUUCCUGCUUAAUAAUAAUAAAAAUGAUAAUAAUAAUAAUGAUAAUACUAAUCUUUUCUACUACAGGCACAAGGCCUGAAAUUUGGAGUUGGGGUUUGACUCACAGUUGGUAGGGUUAAUAGGGUGCAGAUGUACUUAACCAACUUAAAUGUGCUCUGUUUGUACUGAGACAUAGCACAGCGUUCCCGGUUGAUUUACUGACACGUACCCUCACACUCUUUAUAUGCUUGAAUGCAAUACAUUUUCAAAUAUAGAGUGACUUCCAGCUGUGGCCGUCCCAUCUGUUGUUAUUCAAACUUUUGUAUACCUAGGAAUACAUUAGACAUGUCCUUUUGUAAGAGGACAGGUGCACGUGUGUGAGUUGAGGGAGAUUUAGCUGCUAUUUUUAGCACAUCAGAAGACUAUUGACUUCUUUGUUUCUUGAUGGCUCAUCACUUAAUAUUCUUGUUCAGUUCCUGGCCAGCCCUCAUCAAAGACACUUCAACUGUAGGACCAUCUAGUCACAUCUAGAAUUGCAUUAUGAAAUGUAUCCUUUUCCUUUUAUAAGAUAGUAAGGGAGAUUUGACUGCUAUAUCUAGCAGGUCAGCAAUCACAGAUGUUCUAGCAUUGUUUUGUUUUACUUAGUAGUAGUAGUAGUAAUGUGGUCUAUUAAUGUAUAUUUUAGGUAGGUGUUUGAAAUGGUACAUACAUUAUUAUUAUUAUAAAAGAAUUAAUUAUUAAAAAAAUAAAAGAAUUAAUUAUUAUUAUUAUUUAACCCAGUACCUUACCAGUACUCAUUUUAUCAUUGAGGGUUUGAUUAAAUAAAGUUCAAGUACUAGGGUUUAUAUAAUAGAAUCUACCCUCCUGUCCCCACAUUUUCAGACAUCAUAGAGUAGGGUAACAUAAAAUAAAAUAGUGUUAGGGCAUGAUAUACAGCUGUGUGCGUGUGCACAUACACGCGGGUACUGUCCAAAUUUCCAACCAAUCACAUACAGCUAGCUGGCAUUCAAUUGCUAUAUCAAGUUUUGGGCAUUUUGAUUGGGUUUUGAAUAGAAAACUCACAAAAAAGCCACUUCUAUUGAUUUUUUAAUGGCUUUGCGGGGUGACUGGAGAAAUGUAAAGAUGUGCACGACCACCCUUGGACGGUUUGGAAUGACCAUAGAAAGUGUGUACCCUGUAACUGAAAAAUUGUGGAUUUGUAUAAAGGACACACACACACACAGACAUUUUGCCGUUUAUAUAUAGAGAUAAUGUGAUUGACAUAGUAAGGAAAGUUAAGGUAAGGACUUCGUUUAAGGUCUUAAUAUAAUCCCAUCUACUUACGACCGGAUGGAAUACCACACAGCCACAUUUAAUAUCUUCAUGGGUUGGACAGAUUGACAGGAACUGGCAAAGCCAGGGGCUGCACUGGGUUCCAUCCCUAGUCUGUUUUGGCUUGGUUUCUAUGGCUGGAUGCCAUUCCCAAUGCCAACCAUUUUACAGAGUGUACUGGGUGCUUUUUAUGUGGUACCAGCAUCCACACCAAUGGAACCUUUGUUUUAGGAUCUCAGUUCUGUUGUGGUUGGCAGACCUUCUCAAGUACAGCAAUGUGUCACAUAUCUUGGUCCUCUGUAGGCCUCCUUCCAUUUCCAUCUACCGAUCCAGCCACAAGGCUUUGUUCUGCCCAAAUCUAUAGUAGGAGACAUUUUCCCUUGAUUCCACGCAGUGGGACUGAACCUGAAACCAUGUGGUUGGGAAGCAAAGUUCUUACCACACAGCCACACUUGUGAAUGGUGUUUUUUAAUUUUUGUUUUACACAGUUGGGUGUAAUUUGAAAGAGAUUUAGCUAUAAUUUUUAGCAGGUCAAACAACCUUAUAGGAGGCUGUCUUGUCUCAGCCAAUUGUGUUUUUGUAGUUUGUGUGUAGGAUGGUAUUUAGUUGUAGCAACUGUUGAAAUUUUUUUCAAGUCCCCCCUACUGAUAAUUAUUCCUCCCCACCUUCUGUUUUCCACAAUACAAUGACAGAAGUAAGUUUCAACCUAUAAACCAUAUGGGUUGACUUGUAGGUCAGGAUUGCUAUAACUACUUAGCAUUUUAAUUAUUCAAAAGCAUAGUUUAGAUAUGGUUAUUUCAAACAACAAUCUUUGUGAAAUAAAAUUUUGUAGGACAAGUCAUGACAAAUUUUUCGAAAAUUUUCACCGGAAAUUUUACCCAAAAAUUUUUGGAAAAUUUUUGCAGAAAAUUUUACCCAAAAAUUUUCCGAAAAUUUUCACCGAAAAUCUUCCCCAAAAAUUUUUCGAAAAUUUUCCCCAAAAUUUUUUCGAAAAUCUUCCUCAAAAAUUUUUUGAAAAUUUUCACCAAAAUUUUUUCGAAAAUCUUCCUCAAAAAUUUUUGAAAAAUUUUCAGCAAAGAUUUUCCCCCAAUAUGUGAGCGUGUGUAGAUUUUAUAUAUGUGUAUGUGAAUGUAUAUAUAUAUAUAUAUAUAUAUAUAUAUAUAUAUAUAUAUAUAUAUGUGUGUGUGUGUGCCCGCGCACGCAUAUAUGCGUGUAUGUGCCCGAGUGUUGAAUCUUAAAGGCCAGCUAAGGAGAAUCAUAUGUGUAACCAACCAUGAAGAAUCAACAGUACAAAAAAAUAAAAUACCAAUCUCUUUAAAACGGCAACCACUUUAAGGGUACGAGAAUCACCAUCCCACUACAUUUACGUAUUCAAAGCACUAUGAAUAUGUAAAUAGGCUUUGUGACUACUACUAAAUUAAGGUCACAACAGAGAAAUAGAAUGUUCUUGAAGCUGAGGAUUUUAAAACUGUAAAUCAAUCUUCCUCUAUAUUUGAGUAGUCAAAACAUAUACACCCAGUCAUUCACACACACACACAUACUCAUACACCCACCCACACUCAUAUACACAUAACAUACACCAGAUAUGGAAAGAAAUAUGGAAAUAGCAUAAAAGGUAGAAUAAAGUAGAAACAGAAGUUUUCUUGUUAAGAAUAGAUCAAAUCUACAUUUGUUUCUAGUUAGCUUCUUUUUUUAUUUGUUCCUUACAUUAAAUAUGGUAAUGUUAACUGAACUAUUGUUCAUGUGGAUGGUAGCUGAAUUAUUUUAAUUUCUAAACAAACAUUGGUGCCGAUGUGGCUGUGUAGUUAAGAAGCUUGCUUCCUAACCAUGUGGUCUUGGGUUCAGUCCCACUGUGCAGCACCUUAGGUAAGUGUCUUCUACUAUAACCCAGGACCGACCACGGCCUUGUUGGUGGAUUUGGUUGAUGGAAACUGCAAAGAAGCCAUGUAUGUAUGUAUGUCUGUAUGCAUGCAUCUGUAUAUAUAUAUAUAUAUAUAUAUAUAUAUAUAUAUAUGUGUGUGUGUGUGUGUGUGUUUGUCUUGUUCUCCAAUGCUUGACAGCUGGUGGUGAUUCGUGUAAGCCCCCAUAACUUAGUUGUUCAGCAAAAGAGACCAAUAUAAUAAGUACCAGGCUUUAACAAAAAAUGUGUUGGGGUUGAUUUGUUCAAUAAAAAAUCCUUCAAGGUGGUGCCCAGCAUGUCUGAAACAAGUAAAUGGUGAAAGAUAAUUAUAUUUUUCUAUGUCAACCUGUAUGCAUUUUUGCACAUCUACUUAGUGAUUCUAUCAUACCUGUUAAUACAAUGAAGUCUAUGCUUUGCUGAUGAGAUCAUAAGAAGGCCGAAACAUGCCUGGAGUUCUGGUAUUUGCCAAACUUGUGUAAAAUAAUAUUAAUCAGUGACUAAUUUGUUUUAGUUCUAAUUAGAUUUUUACAAUUGUCUGGAUCAACUAUGUGAAGACUAACUUCAAAUAUAUUUACAAUCACCACCUCUCUCUUUACUCUUUUACUUGUUUCAGUCAUGCUGCGGCCAUGCUGGAGCACCACCUUUAGUCAAACAAAUCGACUCCAGGACUUAUUCUUUGUAAGCCUAGUACUUAAUCUAUCGGUUUCUCUUUUGCCAAACUGCUAAGUUACGGAGAUGUAAACACCAACAUCGGUUGUCAAGCGAAUUUGGAAGGACAAACACACACAUAUAUAGAUAUAUACAUAUAUACGACAGGCUUCUUUCAGUUACCGUUUACCAAAUCCACUCACAAGGCUUUGAGGCUAUAGUAGAAGACACUUGCCCAAGGUGCCACGCAGUGGGACUGAACCCUGAACCAUGUGGUUCAUAAGCAAGCUACUUACCAUGCAGCCACUCCAGCACCUCUGUUCAUCAUUCACUAUAUUUAUUGUUAUCCCCACUCCCAGCCUUCUGUCACUCUCCAGUAUACAAAGUUUAAAUUUUUUAGUUACCUAGAAAUUAUGUUAAAAAACUGCCGUUCAAACCGAAAAGAUCAGAACUCUGACCCUCAGUUAUCUCCCCUUCCCAGUCCAGACGGUUUCCAAAAAUUAUUCAAAAUAAAUAUGACAAGAUACAUCCAACCAUAUUUUAAUAUAUUUGUUUUUAUAUAUUUUUGGUACGUUUUUUUUUUUUCCGUGUUAGCAUGAUUUAGAUAAUCUUAAUAUGAGAUAUUUGCAUAUAAAUAUUAUGUAAAUUGGAUAUUUGCAUCGAUUAUUAUUAAGGCAGAUGCUGUUACUGUUGUCACUGUUAAAACGACAUUUCUAACUUCCAUUAAUGAGUUUUAAUGAUAAAAUUUGAUGAAAAUUAAUUUGAUCAAAUUAUCAAAAUAUUCUGAGAUUGUGUGUCAUCAAUGGUACUUAUGUGCAUGAUAGUGUGUGUGUAUGUGGUCAUAUGUGAGUAUGCAUGUGUGAUAAUGAGUGUGUGGCAAUGUAUAUGCAUGUAUAUAUGUGUGUGGGAGUAAAUAAGUAUGUGUAGUUGUGAGUGUAUGUGUAUGUGUGUACUUUGCCCUGU